GACGAACGCUGGCGGCGUGCUUAACACAUGCAAGUCGAGCGGUAAGGCCCUUUCGGGGUACGACGAGCGGCGAACGGGUGAGUAACACGUGGGUGACCUGCCCUCCAGCUCUGGGAGUAAGCCUGGGAAACCGGGUCGUAAUACUGGAUAUGACUCCAUGACGCAUGUUGUGGGGUGGAAAGCCUUGUGCGGCUGAGGAUGGGCCCGCGGCCUAUCAGCUUGUUGGUGGGGUGAUGGCCUACCAAGGCGACGACGGGUAGCCGGCCUGAGAGGGCGACCGG
rnacentral:rRNA from 1 species